UACGAAGGGGGGCUAGCGUUGCUCGGAAUCACUGGGCGUAAAGGGUGCGUAGGCGGGUCUUUUAAGUCAGGGGUGAAAUCCUGGAGCUCAACUCCAGAACUGCCUUUGAUACUGAGGAUCUUGAGUUCGGGAGAGGUGAGUGGAACUGCGAGUGUAGAGGUGAAAUUCGUAGAUAUUCGCAAGAACACCAGUGGCGAAGGCGGCUGACGAAACUGUAACUGACACUGAGGCUCGAAAGUGCGGGGAUCAAACAGG
rnacentral:rRNA from 1 species